GAUGAACGCUGGCGGCAUGCCUAAUACAUGCAAGUCGAGCGAACAGACGAGGAGCUUGCUCCUCUGACGUUAGCGGCGGACGGGUGAGUAACACGUGGAUAACCUACCUAUAAGACUGGGAUAACUUCGGGAAACCGGAGCUAAUACCGGAUAACAUGUUGAACCGCAUGGUUCUACAGUGAAAGACGGUUUUGCUGUCACUUAUAGAUGGUUCCGCGUCGCAUUAGCUAGUUGGUAAGGUAACGGCUUACCAAGGCAACGAUACGUAGCCGACCUGAGAGGGUGAUCGGCCACACUGGAACUGAGACACGGUCCAGACUCCUACGGGAGGCAGCAGUAGGGAAUCUUCCGCAAUGGGCGAAAGCCUGACGGAGCAACGCCGCGUGAGUGAAGAAGGUCUUCGGAUCGUAAAACUCUGUUAUUAGGGAAGAACAAAUGUGUAAGUAACUAUGCAGGUCUUGACGGUACCUAAUCAGAAAGCCACGGCUAACUACGUG
rnacentral:rRNA from 1 species